GACGUUUGAUCACGAAUUACCCACGGAUUCAUCGUUUGUGGUUCUGAUUUGUGCAUCAGAGAUCCGGAUCUACUUUUUUUUUUGUAUUUAAGUGGUAAAAGUUUUGUAUUUGAGAGAAUUUCAACAAUCCAUGGCCUUUUAGAAAUACCUCAUGAGGAGUGGAUGCAUAUGAGACGGUACCAAUCCUCAGAGUCUAUGAAUGGAGAGUUGCGCGAAGAGACUUCUUUGAAUGGUUGUUCUUCUUCGUCUUCGAAAACAGCCCCUAUCUGUUUUGCUGGUCUGCUCGAUAGGUAGACGGUUUGACAGUUCGAUAGGUAGAUUUGGUAUCACUCUUCGCGCAACUCUCCAUUCAUAAACUCUGCCAAUCCUAUCUCCGGAAGCGAUUUGAUGUCUAUGAGAUACCUGAUUCAAAGAUUUCCAAAAACUGUCGACCUUAUAAAGCGACAUUUCUGUUCAAUCUUGAAAUUCACGAUUUCCUCCUCAAAAACAAGCAGGUGGAGCACAAGCUUUGCCUGGUGCUUCUUAAUGGUUUUUCAUUGAGGGUAGUUAUCAACAUUGUGCGUGAAAGCCGUAGCUCAACUAAAUCCUCUCUGAAAUGGAUGGUGUCCUGGAAAGGCAAAAACGGCCAACGAUGGAUAACGCUCCAGAUGUCGGAUGAAGAAAUGCGUUGGACAUCUUCCGGGGAUCUUUGUUUGGAGUGUCCAUUGGCAUGGUAACACUCAUUUGGAUGUGAAUACAUAGAAAUAAAUAAUUUCAUAAAUAUGAAGCUUGAAAGUUGAAAACGAAUAAUGUGCCAUUAUGAAAAAAAAAAAACAAUAAAAACAGGAAAAAUUUGAGCUUA
rnacentral:lncRNA from 1 species